CCUACGGGUGGCAGCAGUCGAGAAUCAUUCACAAUGGGGGAAACCCUGAUGGUGCGACGCCGCGUGGGGGAAUGAAGGUCUUCGGAUUGUAAACCCCUGUCAUGUGGGAGCAAAUUAAAAAGAUAGUACCACAAGAGGAAGAGACGGCUAACUCUGUGCCAGCAGCCGCGGUAAUACAGAGGUCUCAAGCGUUGUUCGGAAUCACGGGGCGUAAGGCGUGCGUAGGCUGUUUCGUAAGUCGUGUGUGAAAGGCGCGGGCUCAACCCGCGGACGGCACAUGAUACUGCGAGACUAGAGUAAUGGAGGGGGAAACGGAAUUCUCGGUGUAGCAGUGAAAUGCGUAGAUAUCGAGAGGAACACUCGUGGCGAAGGCGGGUUCCUGGACAUUAACUGACGCUGAGGCACGAAGGCCAGGGGAGCGAAAGGGAUUAGAUACCCCAGUAGUC
rnacentral:rRNA from 1 species